GAUGAACGCUGGCGGCGUGCCUAAUACAUGCAAGUCGAGCGAACAGACGAGGAGCUUGCUCCUCUGACGUUAGCGGCGGACGUGUGAGUAACACGUGGAUAACCUACCUAUAAGACUGGGAUAACUUCGGGAAACCGGAGCUAAUACCGUAUAAUAUAUUGAACCGCAUGGUUCAAUAGUGAAAGACGGUUUUGCUGGCACGUAUCGAUGGAUCCGGGCCGCUUUAGCUAGUUGGUAAGGUAACGGCUUACCAGGGCAACGAUGCGUAGCCGACCUGAGAGGGUGGUCGGCGACACGGGAAGUGAGACACGGACCAGACUCCUGCGGGAGGCAGCAGUAGCGAACCUUCCGCAAUGGGCGAGAGCCUGACGGAGCAGCGCCGCGUGAGUGAUGAAGGUGUUCGGAUCGUAAAACUCUGUUAUUAGGGAAGAACAAAUGUGUAAGUAACUAUGCACGUCUUGACGGUACCUAAUCAGAAAGCCACGGCUAACUACGUG
rnacentral:rRNA from 1 species